CUUAUUCAACGCUGAGGUGUGAUGACGAGGCACUACGGUGCUGAAGCAACAAAUGCCCUGCUUCCAGGAAAAGCCUCUAAGCAUCAGGUAACAUCAAAUCGUACCCCAAACCGACACAGGUGGUCAGGUAGAGAAUACCAAGGCGCUUGAGAGAACUCGGGUGAAGGAACUAGGCAAAAUGGUGCCGUAACUUCGGGAGAAGGCACGCUGAUGGUAAGUGAAGCGACUUGCUCGUGGAGCUGAAAUCAGUCGAAGAUACCAGCUGGCUGCAACUGUUUAUUAAAAACACAGCACUGUGCAAACACGAAAGUGGACGUAUACGGUGUGACGCCUGCCCGGUGCCGGAAGGUUAAUUGAUGGGGUUAGCGGCAACGCGAAGCUCUUGAUCGAAGCCCCGGUAAACGGCGGCCGUAACUAUAACGGUCCUAAGGUAGCGAAAUUCCUUGUCGGGUAAGUUCCGACCUGCACGAAUGGCGUAAUGAUGGCCAGGCUGUCUCCACCCGAGACUCAGUGAAAUUGAAAUCGCUGUGAAGAUGCAGUGUACCCGCGGCAAGACGGAAAGACCCCGUGAACCUUUACUAUAGCUUGACACUGAACACUGGUCCUUGAUGUGUAGGAUAGGUGGGAGGCUUUGAAGCGUGGACGCCAGUCUGCGUGGAGCCAACCUUGAAAUACCACCCUUUAAUGGCUGGUGUUCUAACGUGGACCCGUAAUCCGGGUUGCGGACAGUGUCUGGUGGGUAGUUUGACUGGGGCGGUCUCCUCCUAAAGAGUAACGGAGGAGCACGAAGGUUAGCUAAUCCUGGUCGGACAUCAGGAGGUUAGUGCAAUGGCAUAAGCUAGCUUGACUGCGAGAGUGACGGCUCGAGCAGGUGCGAAAGCAGGUCAUAGUGAUCCGGUGGUUCUGUAUGGAAGGGCCAUCGCUCAACGGAUAAAAGGUACUCCGGGGAUAACAGGCUGAUACCGCCCAAGAGUUCAUAUCGACGGCGGUGUUUGGCACCUCGAUGUCGGCUCAUCACAUCCUGGGGCUGAAGUAGGUCCCAAGGGUACGGCUGUUCGCCGUUUAAAGUGGUACGCGAGCUGGGUUUAGAACGUCGUGAGACAGUUCGGUCCCUAUCUGCCGUGGGCGCUGGAGAAUUGAGGGGGGCUGCUCCUAGUACGAGAGGACCGGAGUGGACGCAUCACUGGUGUUCGGGUUGUCAUGCCAAUGGCAUUGCCCGGUAGCUAAAUGCGGAAAAGAUAAGUGCUGAAAGCAUCUAAGCACGAAACUUGCCCCGAGAUGAGUUCUCCCUGACUCCUUGAGAGUCCUGAAGGAACGUUGAAGACGACGACGUUGAUAGGUCGGGUGUGUAAGCGCAGCGAUGCGUUGAGCUAACCGAUACUAAUGAACCGUGAGGCUUAACCUU
rnacentral:rRNA from 1 species